ACACGUUUAACGUGCAAGAACAAAACCAACAUGGGAUUAUUAAUCGCUUCAACAGUACGACAGUAAUAUCCGCUUCCACGUAUUGUUGCUGCAGUAAAUGGCCGGUCAUCGGGUGUUGGUCUACAGUUAAUUUCUUACUGAAAAAGAACUGAAUAGCUCAGAUAGUUUCUUACAAUUUCCUUGAUUGUGUAAUUAUGUGGAUUGGCAGCGGAGGCUCAACGAUGUUUAUCAAUUUAUCGCCCACAGUUUACCAAAUAUUGAAUGACUAAUUCCCAUUAGGCGAAAGUAAUAAAGUUGAUGUAUUUGCUACGCGGUGGCCCCAAUUCGUUGAGCAACUCAGGAGUGUUAAAUUGUUUCAAGAUUUGCAUCUUACACUGAGACAAGAUGCAAAAGAAAGAGAAACUGUGAUGAGUGGGUGUUAAGCACUUGCUUCUUGUUAAGAAACGUUUAUUAGCCGAGAAUGGAAAUGAAACUUUUGUAUUACCAGAUGAAGCACUUGAGGGUUUUCUUUGUUAGCUCUUUUGCUUACAUUGGCAAUGAGUUUUCGUUUGUUUGCGAGUUAAUCCCAGGCGAAUUUAAUAAAGCCGAAGUGUCCUGUCUUAUGUAUUUUUGGUAAAGUUGUCAGAAAAGUGGCUGUAAUUGCAUUGUAGUUCCUCUAAUUGUCUAAUACAAGGUGUCAAUAAAUUUAGCUCUUGAACUUU